rnacentral:rRNA from 1 species
UGAGGAAUAUUGGUCAAUGGGCGCAGGCCUGAACCAGCCAAGUAGCGUGAAGGAUGACUGCCCUAUGGGUUGUAAACUUCUUUUAUAUGGGAAUAAAGUUUUCCACGUGUGGAAUUUUGUAUGUACCAUAUGAAUAAGGAUCGGCUAACUCCGUGCCAGCAGCCGCGGUAAUACGGAGGAUCCGAGCGUUAUCCGGAUUUAUUGGGUUUAAAGGGAGCGUAGGUGGACAGUUAAGUCAGUUGUGAAAGUUUGCGGCUCAACCGUAAAAUUGCAGUUGAUACUGGCUGUCUUGAGUACAGUAGAGGUGGGCGAAAUUCGUGGUGUAGCGGUGAAAUGCUUAGAUAUCACGAAGAACUCCGAUUGCGAAGGCAGCUCACUGGACUGCAACUGACACUGAUGCGCGAAAGUGUGGGUAUCAAACAGG